rnacentral:rRNA from 1 species
CACGUAGGGCGCAAGCGUUGUCCGGAAUUAUUGGGCGUAAAGAGCUCGUAGGCGGUCCGUCACGUCCGCUGUGAAAACCCAGGGCUCAACCCUGGGCUUGCAGUGGAUACGGGCAGACUAGAGGUAGGUAGGGGAGAAUGGAAUUCCCGGUGUAGCGGUGAAAUGCGCAGAUAUCGGGAAGAACACCCGUGGCGAAGGCGGCUCUCUGGGACGGUACUGACGCUGAGACGCGAAAGCGUGGGGAGCGAACAGG